GGAUGUGAGGGUGCUGAGACUGAGACAUCUGUCACCCUAUUGAUGGCCGGGGUUGAUUCAGAUGCUCUGACUGGCUAAGUGGUGUCCCCUACCUCCCUCACUGCUCCAUGUGUGUACCUCCUGAAGCUGUAUGUUCAGUUAAAGAGGACAGUCUUCCCCCAAACAGAAAGGAUAUAUAAGGUCAGGGAUAUAUAAGUAGCUGCACACUCAUGCUAUAACCUCCAAAUUAGCUCUCAAAAUGGUGGCUGAAUCAGACAAAUAGAACCACCUUUAUACAACAAAGGU
rnacentral:snRNA from 1 species